AACGAACGCUGGCGGCGUGCCUAAUACAUGCAAGUCGAACGAGAAAGCGUAGCAAUACGUUAGUAAAGUGGCAGACGGGUGAGUAAUACAUAGGUAAUCUACCUUCGAGAUGGGGAUAACCUUCCGAAAGGAGGGCUAAUACCGAAUGAGACCACAGAGAUUAAUUUCUCAGGGGUUAAAGGUGACCUCUAUUUAUAAGUUAUCGCUUGAAGAUGAGCUUAUGCACCAUCAGCUAGUUGGUAGGGUAAUGGCCUACCAAGGCUUUGACGGUUAGCUGAUCUGAGAGGUUGAUNAGCCACACUGGAACUGAGACACGGUCCAGACUCCUACGGAGGCAGCAGUAGGGAAUAUUGCGCAAUGGAGGAAACUCUGAC
rnacentral:rRNA from 1 species